UACAAAGGGGGCUAGCGUUGUUCGGAAUUACUGGGCGUAAAGGGCGCGUAGGCGGUGUGUCAAGUCAGGCGUGAAAGCCCCGGGCUCAACCUGGGAACCGCGCUUGAGACUGGCACGCUCGAGUUCGGGAGAGGAUGGUGGAAUUCCCAGUGUAGAGGUGAAAUGCGUAGAUAUCUGGAGGAACAUCGGUGGCGAAGGCGGCAUCCUGGACCGGUAUUGACGCUGAGGCGCGAAAGCCAGGGGAGCAAACGGG
rnacentral:rRNA from 1 species